CUUCAUCUGAAAUUACGAGUAAGCAAAAAGCCGUCUAUGUCUGGAGCCAGGCCCUAAAUCUCACGUCACUCCAUUGGAAACCAGUUGGCGAGUCCGUCCCACUCAAAUGAACACAAUAACAACAUACACACUGCCUGCAUCUCCCCCAGUCCAGACGCUCACUCAUACAUAUCUAACAUUCCACACGUGGCUGACCACAAAGAUGGGCAUGCAGGCAUCCCUGUUAUGGCCGUAUAUAUGCAAGCAUACACGCCUUUGCUACCACAUGACUGAUCCAUUCUACCCGCCACACAAUACACCGCUAACACCGGCAAUCAAUACAUCGACAGACAGCGAUAAGCUUGGACCCAGACAGAGAGACUGGAUCGAUAGAAGCGUAGGAUGCAGCUUGUCAUGCCGUUGAUCCUCUACUGCAUGUAGAGAAUGAUGAGGCUAAAAAUCAAGUCAAGUCCACAUGUGGUCUUCUCCACUGAUGACUCACACCAUCGACCUUUAUUGGGCAGCCUUCAUCUCCAGCAUGGGAAUGCUUGCUGCCCUGCUGCUCUUCACCACAUUCAGCGCUUCCUGCUGCCAUGAAAACAAUGGUCCCGCUGCUUGAGAAAACUCAACCCCAAUUCCCCUGAAGACGCUCUUUACAGUAAUCUCACACUUCCCUUUCUCCGUCUUGCUCAUACCUGCCACAUGACAAAACUGCUAGCUGUGCAACUAUGCCGAUCCUUAUGAGAGAACAUUCUCAGGUGGACUAAGAACCCUAUUUUGGGGUCGAUCACAGAAACACUCUU